UGAUUUUACAUUUUGAGUGAGUGGCGAACUGGUGAGUAACACGUGGGAAACCUGCCCAGAAGCGGGGGAUAACACCUGGAAACAGAUGCUAAUACCGCAUAACAACUUGGACCGCAUGGUUCGAGCUUAGAAAGAUGGCCUCGGCUAUCUACUUUUGGAUCGGUCCCGCGGCGUAUUAGCUAGAUGGUGGGGUAACGGGCUCACCAUGGCAAUGAUACGUAGCCCGACCCUGAGAGGGUAAUCGGCCACAUUGGGACUGAGACACGGCCCAAACUCC
rnacentral:rRNA from 1 species